CUUAAAACGUGCAGAGCCCAUAUUAAAGUAGUAAGUGGCCUAAUAGCACGUAAAAAAGCCCAUCUCAGCAUAUGCAUAUGUUUUAACCGUGCAAUCCUAACGUUCGGCUCUCACGCCGUCUAUUACUCCGCUACCGCUUUCUUGUUUGUUUGGCUACAUUUCCUAAUGUGACUGGAAUCGACAGUUUUGAUCCAUAUCAAGUUGGGCUUUGCUACUUUUGUUUUAUUCCAUGAUGUCAUUUCAGGUUUUCUGGAUAUUUACUGGCAGCACUAGGAUCUCUGUUGUGGCUACGGAAAAACAAACCCAAGACUUUGAUCCCUAUUAUAUAUGCAUGUGCUGGACUUGUGGCAACAAUUCCAUCCAUUACUAGUUAUCUGAGGGUGGCUUGGGAUGGCACCUUCUAAAAGUAGAAGGCUUCAAACUAUUCAUCUCAUCGACAAUUGCUUUAAUCAGUUGGCAGUUUGUUGCAUGCCCGGAGACCGUCUAACUGAGGGAUUUUCUUGUAGUAGAUGAGAUGACAUAAGGUACUACGAGUACGAUCUAUCUGCUUCUGUAACCUUUAUGUAACCUUUAUGUAACUGUCAAGGCCAUAUAUCUUCCAAGAUAUUUUGGCAUAGGCGACCAAAAAAAGCUUUUUUCCAUCA